UUAAACAUAAAGGUCCUGAUCAUCCUAGA
rnacentral:piRNA from 1 species